rnacentral:rRNA from 1 species
GACGAACGCUGGCGGCGUGCCUAAUACAUGCAAGUCGAACGGUUUAGUUCCUAGAGGCUUGCCUUUUGGAACUAGACAGUGGCGGACGGGUGAGUAACACGUAGGCAACCUACCUGUCAAACCGGGAUAACCUCGGGAAACCGAAGCUAAACCCGGAUAAGCUCCUUUUUCGCAUGAAGGGGGAGUGAAAAGGUGCGACCUGAUGACAGAUGGGCCUGCGGCGCAUUAGCUAGUAGGUAGGGUAACGGCCUACCUAGGCGAUGAUGCGUAGCCGACCUGAGAGGGCGUACGGCCACACUGGGACUGAGAUACGGCCCAGACUCCUACGGGAGGCAGCAGUAGGGAAUCUUCGGCAAUGGGCGAAAGCCUGACCGAGCAACGCCGCGUGAGUGAGGAAGGCCUUCGGGUUGUAAAACUCUGUUGUUUGGGAAGAAGGGAAAGGGUAGGACCCUUAGGUGACGGUACCAAACGAGAAAGCCCCGGCUAACUACGUG